CACGUAGGGUGCGAGCGUUGUCCGGAAUUAUUGGGCGUAAAGAGCUCGUAGGCGGUGUGUCGCGUCGGCCGUGAAAACCUGCAGCUUAACUGUGGGCUUGCGGUCGAUACGGGCAUCACUGGAGUUCGGCAGGGGAGACUGGAAUUCCUGGUGUAGCGGUGAAAUGCGCAGAUAUCAGGAGGAACACCGGUGGCGAAGGCAGGUCUCUGGGCCGAUACUGACGCUGAGGAGCGAAAGCGUGGGGAGCGAACAGG
rnacentral:rRNA from 1 species